AUGGAGGGAGAGAUAGCUGAGGACUUUCUUGCUUGCAAUGAUAGGAGUGAUCUUAAGAAACCACUAUGCAAACUGAAAGAAAAAUCUUUGAAUGCUAGAAUGAAAUGUGAUCCUAUGUUUGCUACUUCACCUAUCUUUGUUGCCGAUAAGGAUUAUGAAUUCUCUGUCGACCUAGAGCUAAUUACUUUGGUAGAAUCGGAUCCUUUCCAUGGCUAUGAAACUGAAACUGUAGUGACACAUCCUACUAAAUUGAAUGACAUAGCCACCCUUUUUGCUCAUGAUGAGAAAAUUCGCUACUAUUAUAUCUUUAAAUUA
rnacentral:rRNA from 1 species